rnacentral:rRNA from 1 species
ACCGCGCAUGUCCGGCCCGGGAAAGCCCAGACGGGAGGGGAUGGGCCCGCGGCCUGUUAGCUAGUCGGCGGGGUAACGGCCCACCGAGGCGAUUAUGGGUAGCCGGGUUGAGAGACCGACCGGCCAGAUUGGGACUGAGACACGGCCCAGACUCCUACGGGAGGCAGCAGUGGGGAAUCUUGCGCAAUGGGCGGAAGCCUGACGCAGCGACGCCGCGUGCGGGACGAAGGCCUUCGGGUCGUAAACCGCUUUCAGCAGGGACGAGGCCCCCGCGGUGACGGUACCUGCAGAAGAAGCCCCGGCUAACUACGUGCCAGCAGCCGCGGUAAUACGUAGGGGGCGAGCGUUAUCCGGAUUCAUUGGGCGUAAAGCGCGCGUAGGCGGCCUGUUAGGUCGGGGGUCAAAUACCGGGGCUCAACCCCGGUCCGCCCCCGAUACCGGCAGGCUUGAGUCUGGUAGGGGAAGGCGGAAUUCCCAGUGUAGCGGUGGAAUGCGCAGAUAUUGGGAAGAACACCGGCGGCGAAGGCGGCCUUCUGGGCCACGACUGACGCUGAGGCGCGAAAGCUAGGGGAGCGAACAGGAUUAGAUACCCUGGUAGUCCUAGCCGUAAACGAUGGACGCUAGGUGUUGGGGG